rnacentral:rRNA from 1 species
GAUGAACGCUGGCGGCGUGCUUAACACAUGCAAGUCGAACGGUGAAGCAGGAGCUUGCUCUUGUGGAUCAGUGGCGAACGGGUGAGUAACACGUGAGCAACCUGCCCCUGACUCUGGGAUAAGCGCUGGAAACGGCGUCUAAUACUGGAUAUGUGAUGUGACCGCAUGGUCUGCAUCUGGAAAGAAUUUCGGUUGGGGAUGGGCUCGCGGCCUAUCAGCUUGUUGGUGAGGUAAUGGCUCACCAAGGCGUCAACGGGUAGCCGGCCUGAGAGGGUGGCCGGACACACUGGGACUGAGACACGGCCCAGACUCCUACGGGAGGCAGCAGUGGGGAAUAUUGCACAAUGGGCGGAAGCCUGAUGCAGCAACGCCGCGUGAGGGAUGACGGCCUUCGGGUUGUAAACCUCUUUUAGCAGGGAAGAAGCGAAAGUGACGGUACCUGCAGAAAAAGCACCGGCUAACUACGUGCCAGCCGCCGCCGUAA